rnacentral:rRNA from 1 species
UACCGAGGUCCCGAGCGUUGUUCGGAUUCAUUGGGCGUAAAGGGUGCGUAGGUGGCGCUGUAAGUGGGGUGUGAAAUCCCGGGGCUUAACCCCGGGACUGCAUUCCAUACUGCGGUGCUUGAGGACUGGAGAGGAGACUGGAAUUUACGGUGUAGCAGUGAAAUGCGUAGAGAUCGUAAGGAAGACCAGUGGCGAAGGCGGGGCUCUGGACAGUUCCUGACACUGAGGCACGAAGGCCAGGGGAGCAAACGGG